CUUAGUCAUGGAGGCAAGUGAAUGCGCAACAAGGGAUCUCUAACCUUCAAACCAUUUGAGGGAGAAUACUCUAUGAUAUAAUUUAGAAUCUCUGGCCAGAGUAUGAAUGAGAUUUAGGAAUGCGUUCCAAAUCACAUUCAAAGUAAUCAUAUAUGCACAAGAUUCACAUUGGAUAGUAGACAUGAAUAAACUAUCAAACCAAACAAUGUGGUCAAGAGUAUUGUAUUAGAGAAGGACCGUAUUGCAUUUGUAAUCCUAAACUGAAUAGGUUUCUUAACCUCUUCUGAUUAGCUUGGGUAACCAUGACAUACGGCUAGGUGUCACUCAUGGUUUGUGGAAGCCCU
rnacentral:lncRNA from 1 species